rnacentral:rRNA from 1 species
UGCCAGCCGCCGCGGUAAUACGAAGGGCCCGAGCGUUGCGCGGAAUCAUUGGGCUUAAAGCGUACGUAGGCGGACACAUAGGCGCUUUGUGAAAUCCCUCGGCUCAACCGAGGAACUGCUUGGCGAACCAUGUGUCUUGAGGCAAGUAGGGGCUGUCGGAACGAUAGGUGGAGUGGUGAAAUGCGUUGAUAUCUAUCGGAACGCCGAAGGAGAAAUCAGGCAGCUGGGCUUGUUCUGACGCUGAGGUACGAAAGCGUGGGGAGCGAACGGGAUUAGAUA